AUGGCACAUCCAUGGCAGUUCUCAAGGCCAUUGGUUAUGAUUUUGACAGCGAUGACUACCACAGAUUUGUUCAUGGGAGAUUGCCAUACGAGAGGCUAAAGCCUGACCAUGUUCUAAGAAGUCUUUUGCUAAGGCUGCCUUCUUAUUUAAUACAAGUAGAUAAUCAACUACAAAGUAAGAUUUCUUAGUUCCGAUGAUGAUUUUGAUUUCUGGGUUUUAUGUAAUAGAUAUUCUCAAAUGCCGAUCAAGCACAUGUGGCUAAAGUUCUCAGCAGUUCAAGCUUUGAGGCCCUAAUAAUCCCUUUAAUUACGAGGACAUCAAUUCUUGUGAUGAAAUUGGAGUUCGGCUAUACAUCCGAAGCCAAAUUCUUGACAUCAUUGAACAUCUUUGUCAAUCUAAUCCUGUUUGAGUACUUCAAAAAAAUCCAGUUGUCUGCAAACCUUUUGAAGAUGCAUUUGAGCAGGCCUUUAAGCUGGCUAACAUCAAUCCUCGAAAAACAUGCAAGUACCAUUUCAAAAGUACUCAGAAAUUCAGAUGAUGUCGGGUAUGAUUUUUUGUCUUGAAGGAGAGUUAUAAACAUGUUUAGU